GAUGAACGCUGGCGGCGUGCUUAACACAUGCAAGUCGAACGAAGCACUUAUCUUUGAUUCUUCGGAUGAAGAGGUUUGUGACUGAGUGGCGGACGGGUGAGUAACGCGUGGGUAACCUGCCUCGUACAGGGGGAUAACAGUUAGAAAUGACUGCUAAUACCGCAUAAGACCACGGAGCCGCAUGGCUCAGUGGGAAAAACUCCGGUGGUAUGAGAUGGACCCGCGUCUGAUUAGGUAGUUGGUGGGGUAACGGCCUACCAAGCCAACGAUCAGUAGCCGACCUGAGAGGGUGACCGGCCACAUUGGGACUGAGACACGGCCCAAACUCCUACGGGAGGCAGCAGUGGGGAAUAUUGCACAAUGGGGGAAACCCUGAUGCAGCGACGCCGCGUGAGCGAAGAAGUAUUUCGGUAUGUAAAGCUCUAUCAGCAGGGAAGAAAAUGACGGUACCUGACUAAGAAGCACCGGCUAAAUACGUGCCAGCAGCCGCGGUAAUACGUAUGGUGCAAGCGUUAUCCGGAUUUACUGGGUGUAAAGGGAGCGUAGACGGCUGUGUAAGUCUGAAGUGAAAGCCCGGGGCUCAACCCCGGGACUGCUUUGGAAACUAUGCAGCUAGAGUGUCGGAGAGGUAAGUGGAAUUCCCAGUGUAGCGGUGAAAUGCGUAGAUAUUGGGAGGAACACCAGUGGCGAAGGCGGCUUACUGGACGAUGACUGACGUUGAGGCUCGAAAGCGUGGGGAGCAAACAGAAUUAGAUACCCUGGUAGUCCACGCCGUAAACGAUGACUAAAAGGUGUCGGGGAGCAAAGCUCUUUGGUGCCGCAGCAAAACGCAAUAAGUAGUCCACCUGGGGAGUACGUUCGCAAGAAUGAAACUCAAAAAGAAUUGACGGGGACCCGCACAAGCGGUGGAGCAUGUGGUUUAAUUUGAAGCAACGCGAAGAACCUUACCUGCUCUUGACAUCCCGGUGACCGGCAUGUAAUGAUGCCUUUUCUUCGGAACACCGGUGACAGGUGGUGCAUGGUUGUCGUCAGCUCGUGUCGUGAGAUGUUGGGUUAAGUCCCGCAACGAGCGCAACCCUUAUCUUCAGUAGCCAGCAUUUUGGAUGGGCACUCUGGAGAGACUGCCAGGGAUAACCUGGAGGAAGGUGGGGAGGACGUCAAAUCAUCAUGCCCCCUAUGAGCAGGGCUACACACGUGCUACAAUGGCGUAAACAAAGGGAAGCAAACCUGCGAGGGUAAGCAAAUCUCAAAAAUAACGUCUCAGUUCGGAUUGUAGUCUGCAACUCGACUACAUGAAGCUGGAAUCGCUAGUAAUCGCGAAUCAGCAUGUCGCGGUGAAUACGUUCCCGGGUCUUGCACA
rnacentral:rRNA from 1 species